rnacentral:misc_RNA from 1 species
CUUCUUGAGAUCAACCUCAUCAAAUUUAUCACCGGAGUACUCUUUCUUCACCAGGGACCCAGUAACAAGUUCCAGCUUUCCGCUUCGUAUUUACAGUGUUGCCCUGAUAUUGAUCAGUGGAUACUUUUCCUUUCGCGAUGUGAGAUCAAAGAAUUGGUUCUUGAAUUAGGAGAAGGAGAGUGGUUUAGGGUCCCUUCAUGUCUUUUCAAUUGUAAGAUGUUAACCUGUUUGGAGUUAGCCCGUUGCGAAUUUGAUCCACUCCUGGUUUUAAGGGAUUCUUAUGCUUGAAGAGUCUCAAUCUUUAUAAAAUUUUGGUUGCUCCUNUUUUGGUUGCUCCUGAGGCUAUUGAGAAUCUAAUUUCUGGUUGUCCUCUUCUUGAGAGUCUUUCAUUGUCAUGUUUUGAUAGUUUAGUUCUAAACAUCCGAGCUCCAAAUCUAAAGUAUUUGUGUUUGGAGGGUGAAUUCAAGGAUAUUGUCUUGAAAAUACCCCACUUUUGUUUCCAUGUCAUUUGCUAUGUACAUCACUGACGACAUUGCUGAACACUUCGAUCAAAGUUCAAGUUGCAAUUUUAUCAAGUUUCUUGUUGGCGUUCCUCGUCUUGAGAGGCUUAUUGGGCAUAUCUACUUAACAAUGGUAACAGCAUGUUUUCAUAAAUGAUUCCUUAAGCUGAUGUAGUUUUUCUUUGCUCCAAGGUUUUAACUGAUGAACUGGGAAGGGCC